rnacentral:rRNA from 1 species
GAUGAACGCUGGCGGCGUGCCUAAUACAUGCAAGUCGAGCGAACGGACGAGAAGCUUGCUUCUCUGAUGUUAGCGGCGGACGGGUGAGUAACACGUGGAUAACCUACCUAUAAGACUGGGAUAACUUCGGGAAACCGGAGCUAAUACCGGAUAAUAUUUUGAACCGCAUGGUUCAAAAGUAAAAGACGGUCUUGCUGUCACUUAUAGAUGGAUCCGCGCUGCAUUAGCUAGUUGGUAAGGUAACGGCUUACCAAGGCAACGAUGCAUAGCCGACCUGAGAGGGUGAUCGGCCACACUGGAACUGAGACACGGUCCAGACUCCUACGGGAGGCAGCAGUAGGGAAGCUUCCGCAAUGGGCGAAAGCCUGACGGAGCAACGCCGCGUGAGUGAUGAAGGUCUUCGGAUCGUAAAACUCUGUUAUUAGGGAAGAACAUAUGUGUAAGUAACUGUGCACAUCUUGACGGUACCUAAUCAGAAAGCCACGGCUAACUACGUG